rnacentral:rRNA from 1 species
GACGAACGCUGGCGGCGUGCCUAACACAUGCAAGUCAAACGGGGGUAGCAAUACCCCAGUGGCGAACGGGUGCGUAACACGUGAGAAAUUUGUCUAUUGGCGGGGGAUAGCCGGCCCAACGGCCGGGUAAUACCGCGUACGUUGGCGAGGGCGCAUGCCCAUGCCGGGAAAGCAGCAAUGCACCGAUUGAGGAUCUCGCGGCCUAUCAGCUUGUUGGUGGGGUAACGGCUCACCAAGGCAACGACGGGUAGCUGGUUUGAGAGGAUGAUCAGCCACAUUGGGACUGAGACCCGGCCCAGACUCCUACGGGAGGCAGCAGUGGGGAAUAUUGCGCAAUGGGGGAAACCCUGACGCAGCGACGCCGCGUGUGGGAUGACGGCCUUCGGGUUGUAAACCCCUGUCGCGAGGGACGAAGAUUUGACGGUACCUCGAAAGGAAGCACCGGCUAACUUUGUG